GUCGAACGAACUCUUCGGAGUUAGUGGCGGACGGGUGAGUAACACGUGGGAACGUGCCUUUUGGUUCGGAAUAACUCAGGGAAACUUGUGCUAAUACCGAAUGUGCCCUUCGGGGGAAAGAUUUAUCGCCAUUAGAGCGGCCCGCGUCUGAUUAGCUAGUUGGUGAGGUAAAAGCUCACCAAGGCGACGAUCAGUAGCUGGUCUGAGAGGAUGACCAACCCACUGUGGGACUGAGACACGGCCCAAACUCCUACGGGAGGCAGCAGUGGGGAAUCUUGCGCAAUGGGCGAAAGCCUGACGCAGCCAUGCCGCGUGAAUGAUGAAGGUCUUAGGAUUGUAAAAUUCUUUCACCGGGGACGAUAAUGACGGUACCCGGAGAAGAAGCCCCGGCUAACUUCGUGCCAGCAGCCGCGGUAAUACGAAGGGGGCUAGCGUUGCUCGGAAUUACUGGGCGUAAAGGGCGCGUAGGCGGAUCGUUAAGUCAGAGGUGAAAUCCCAGGGCUCAACCCUGGAACUGCCUUUGAUACUGGCGAUCUUGAGUAUGAGAGAGGUAUGUGGAACUCCGAGUGUAGAGGUGAAAUUCGUAGAUAUUCGGAAGAACACCAGUGGCGAAGGCGACAUACUGGCUCAUUCUCAUUACUGACGCUGAGGCGCGAAAGCGUGGGGAGCAAACAGGAUUAGAUACCCUGCUAGUCCACGCCGUAAACGAUGAUUGCUAGUUGUCGGGCUGCAUGCAGUUCGGUGACGCAGCUAACGCAUUAAGCAAUCCGGCCUGGGGAGU
rnacentral:rRNA from 1 species